AUUGAAUUUCUUUUUUUGUAGCCCAGCCUAGUCUAAAACAUACUCUGUAGCCAAGAUGCACCUCAAACUCAAGUAUGAUUAACACUGCUUCUGAUCCAGCUCCUUUAGAUGCUAGACAUCCAUCAGUGUCCAACACGGAUGCAGGAUUUUUGACUUCCUGGAUUGAUUUAACUCCAAAAUGGCUUUUAUAAAUGUCAUGGGCUCCGAGGAGGACUUUGGGGUAAAGCCUUCAGGGAACUGAAGCGGGAUAUAGAGCUGGAAGGUGGACUCCUUCCUUACCUUCUCUGCCAAC
rnacentral:sRNA from 1 species